rnacentral:rRNA from 1 species
AGAGUUUGAUCAUGGCUCAGGAUGAACGCUAGCUACAGGCUUAACACAUGCAAGUCGAGGGGCAGCAUCAUCAAAGCUUGCUUUGAUGGAUGGCGACCGGCGCGACGGGUGAGUAACACGUAUCCAACCUGUCCGACAACGACUGGGAUAGCCUUUCGAAAGAAAGAUUAAUACCGGAUGGCAUAAUUAUUCUGCAUGGGAUAAUUAUUAAAG